AAUUUUUGUUCUUCAUUUGGUAAGAAGAAGAAAAGGAUGUUGUUCCACAAAAAAACCACCACUCAAUUUUGAAGUGUUAAUGGAUGAAGGUUUGUUCAAGUUCUGCAUAAAAUUUCUUGAUCCAAUUUUUUUUUCUUAUAUCCCCUAAUUAUUAUUGUUACUUGGGUGGAAUUCUGUGCAUUGAAGAAUGACUUACAAGACCAUUCCAUGUUUUAAUCUAUUUUUUAAUAUGUAAUUUUGGGUUGCUUGGUCUGCUAAUCAACUUUAUAUUAGAUUAAUUUGGAUUAGAUGAGAUUCGAUUGAUAAUGACAUUUUCAUAGUUUCUUAUUCUGUCCGAUUAUGUUUCUGAUUCGGUUUUGAGAUUGUACAGUUUCAGUGGGUGCUCCAAUGCAGAAGUUUUGACCUAAUUCGUUGAAUGUGUGGGUCGAUGCUGGAAUAUGGUUAAUUUAUUUGAAGAUGAUGCGAAAUGCUUUAAGUGAGAGGGCUUUGUUUAUCAGUAGUAGAAACUUAAUCAGUAGUUGGGUGAUUAGAGUCAGGGAUUGUUGUUUUUGCCACUUCUAUACAGUAAGAAAUGACGGGGAGAAGUGCUUUACUACAUGUUACUAUAGUCAUCAAUGGUAACAUGACUAUAUGUUACUAUAGUCAUAUAUAGUAACAUUACUACAUAUAUGGUAACCUGACUAUUUGUUACAUAGUCAUAUAUAGUAACAUUACUAUAUGUUACUAUAGUCAUAUAUAGUAACAUAUAGUAACAUGUAGUCAUGUCUGGGUUAUGUGUGUUUUUAAUAUUGAGUGAUGAUGAUGAUUUUGUUCUUUAUUGAAGAACAUAUGCAUGUGAUUGUAUAUUUCGAUCUAUAUUUGUACAAUUUGAUAUAUAAUAUCAAUAUUUAUUUCGAUCUA